rnacentral:rRNA from 1 species
GAUGAACGCUGGCGGCGUGCCUAAUACAUGCAAGUCGAACGAAUCUUCUUCGGAAGAUGAGUGGCGAACGGGUGAGUAAUACAUAGGUAACCUGCCCCUGUGCGGGGGAUAACAGGAGGAAACUCCUGCUAAUACCGCAUAGCCAUGAGCACCGCAUGGAGCUCAUGCCAAAUAUCCUUUCGGGGAUAGCGCAGGGAUGGGCCUAUGGCGCAUUAGCGGGUUGGCGGGGCAACGGCCCACCAAGGCAAGGAUGCGUAGCCGGCCCGAGAGGGCGGACGGCCACAUUGGGACUGAGACACGGCCCAGACUCCUACGGGAGGCAGCAGUAGGGAAUUUUCGGCAAUGGGGGAAACCCUGACCGAGCAACGCCGCGUGAGCGAAGAAGGCCUUCGGGUCGUAAAGCUCUGUUGUAAAGGAAGAACGGCGCAUACAGGAAAUGGUAUGCGAGUGACGGUACUUUACCAGAAAGCCACGGCUAACUACGUGCCAGCCGCCGCCGUAA